rnacentral:misc_RNA from 1 species
GAAACGCGAUAGGUAAUGUGAAUUGCAGAAUUCCGUGAAUCAUCGAAUCUUUGAACGCACAUUGCGCCUUCUGGUAUUCCGGUAGGCAUGCCUGUUUGAGCGUCAGCAAAACCCCUCAGCAAAUCUAUUUUUGUUGGUUCUGGGUUGGGAGGAAAUGGGGGACUAGCUCCCCCGCUCCCGCCUUAAACUUGCUGCAUGACCGCAAGCUUUUAGCAAGGUUAAUGGAGUGGUGUCUACAUUUCUUCCAUAUUCUUCUGAGCUAUAGUGCUUUGUGGCGUUAAACGUACCGUUGCUUAACCGCGACUGAAGUUUGACCUCAAAUCAGACAAGGAUACCCGCUGAACUUAA